UGCGCAGGCGGCCUGAUAAGUCAGAGGUGAAAUAUGUCGGCUCAACCGACAAACGGCCCCUGAAACUGCCAGGCUUGAGUCCGGGAGAGGAAGGUGGAAUUCCAGGUGUAGCGGUGAAAUGCGUAAAUAUCUGGAGGAACACCGGUGGCGAAGGCGGCCUUCUGGCCCGGAACUGACGCUCAGGCACGAAAGCUAGGGGAGCGAACAGGAUUAGAUACCCUGGUAGUCC
rnacentral:rRNA from 1 species